rnacentral:rRNA from 1 species
ACUGGCCGCCUUUAGUGUCUGCUUAACCGCAGGUGCCUGCCUUUUUGGUGGGUAUGUGUGAAUCGUUUACAUACGACGCACGCACUGUUGGUGUGAGGGUCUGCUUGUCAGUGCACUUUCUCAGGGUGUUCACCACGACCGGCACUGCUGCCUGUCUGCUAUGGCCAAACUGAUCAGGUCUGAUUUCCGUCAGUCUUGGUUGGGUCGGCAGGUGACUCUUUGGCUCAUCUAUGGGCUGUGAGUGUUACUAGCCGGCUGUAGCGGAGCUGUGCGGUGUGUCGGAGAUGGCGGCUUCGCAUGCGUGCCUAGACCUUCGGGCGUUGUUGAGUCUGGUCGGCUCGUUACUAGCUUCGGCUGGUCGGCUGAUGGCUUGAUUUUGUCACGUUGGCGGUUGCGUGUGUGGUUUGCGUUGGGCCAAUAGUCUGUGGUGUAGUGGUAGACGAUCCACCUGACCCGUCUUGAAACACGGACCAAGGAGUUUAACAUGUGCGCGAGUCAUUGGGUGUUACGAAACCCAAAGGCGAAGUGAAGGUAAAGGUUCGGCUUGUCCGGACUGAGGUGAGAUCCUGUUGUCUUGCUCAUACUUUCCAAGUUGCGAGCAGCGGGCGCAUCACCGGCCCGUCCCAUGACGUAGACAUGUGACCUCGUGUUGUGUGCACCGUCGGGGCGGAGCAAGAGCG